GUGAUUUCGUAAUUCGCACGAGGACAGAGAUUCAACAUUCAAGGUGAAAGAAGCGUUGGAUUCAGUAAGCUUGGAAAAAUGUGUAUGUUUGCUCGUAAAAUUGAAGUAUUCUCACACUGUUUUCUCGAAGAGAUAUCAUUGAAUCUCACUCGAGGUUACCAGGGAAAAAGGCAGUAUGAUUUCAUACUCAGGCAGAGAGAAAAUUAAGAAGUAACAAACUAGAUGAUGCAAACACGAUAUCACUCACCCAUGGCAUGUUGUGAAGAAGUUGUGUUUUUUGAUUUUGUUCUCAGGCGUCUUCAGAAUUGAUCCCUGAGAGAGGAUGGACAAGGAUUGGGAAACAAACGAAUGUUUAGAAAUCUGGAACAUCAUAAGGCAAAAGCUGAUUUUUAAUGGUGAAAGAUGUCAUGAUGAAAUGAUCACUGAAUCCAAAAAAUGGUUGAAGCUGAUAGUUUACCAACUUGUGAAGAUAGAAGAUCAAGAAUUUUCUUGUAACUGCAUUACUUUAAUAAAAGUUUUUUUUACCU